UAUCGGGUCCGGCGCGACGAGCGCCCGUGAACCGAGUCAGGUCCGGAAGGAAGCAGCUCUCAGCGGAAGCGCUCGAGUGCCGCCGGGUCACCUGAUACGU
rnacentral:SRP_RNA from 1 species